ACUGCAGUGUGAGCACUUGAUGU
rnacentral:miRNA from 1 species